rnacentral:rRNA from 1 species
UGGUGGGUUGCCUUGUCAGGUUGAUUCCGGUAACGAACGAGACCUCAGCCUGCUAAAUAGUCACGGCUGCUUUUGCCAGUUGGCAGACUUCUUAGAGGGACUUUUGGCGACUAGCCAAAGGAAGUGUGAGGCGAUAACA